rnacentral:rRNA from 1 species
AUUCCGGUUGAUCCUGCCGGAGGCUAUUGCUAUCGGGAUCCGAUUCAGGCAUGCUAGUCGUACGAGUUCAUACUCGUGGCGUAUAGCUCAGUAACACGUGGUCAAACCACCCUCUGGACUGAGAUACCCUCGGGAAACUGAGGUCAAUCUCGGAUACUGCUUUCACGUUGGAAAAACGGAAAGCUGGAAACGGUCCGCCGCCGGAGGACGUGACUGCGGCUGAUUAGGUAGACGGUGGGGUAACGGCCCACCGUGCCAAUAAUCAGUACGGGUUGUGAGAGCAAGAGCCCGGAGACGGAAUCUGAGACAAGAUUCCGGGCCCUACGGGGCGCAGCAGCCGCGAAACCUUUACACUGCACGACAGUGCGAUAAGGGGAUCCCGAGUGCGAGGGCAUACAGUCCUCGCUUUUCGUGACCGUAAGGUGGUCACAGAAUAAGGGCUGGGCAAGACCGGUGCCAGCCGCCGCGGUAAUACCGGCAGCCCGAGUGAUAGCCAAUUUUAUUGGGCCUAAAGCGUCCGUAGCUGGCCGAACAGGUCCGUCGGGAAAUCCACCCGCUUAACGGGUGGGCGUCCGGCGGAAACCAGUCGGCUUGGGGCCGGGAGACCAAAGGGGUACGUCCGGGGUAGGAGUGAAAUCCCGUAAUCCUGGACGGACCGCCGGUUGCGAAAGCGCCUUUGGAGAACGGACCCGACAGUGAGGGACGAAAGCUAGGGUCUCGAACCGGAUUAGAUACCCGGGUAGUCCUAGCCGUAAACGAUGCUCGCUAGUUGUGACGCAGGCUACGAGCCUGCGUUGCGCCGUAGGGAAGCCGAGAAGCGAGCCGCCUGGGAAGUACGUCCGCAAGGAUGAAACUUAAAGGAAUUGGCGGGGGAGCACUACAACCGGAGGAGCCUGCGGUUUAAUUGGACUCAACGCCGGACAUCUCACCG